GGGAUGUAAGCAAAAAACGUGGAUUAUGUGCUUUGAUCAAGAGAACUUCUAAGUGCCAAAAAUCAACUGGAAAAGGCGUCCCGAGAUCCAGAGGCGAGGGAUUGGAUUGUCAGAAAGCAGAGGCACUAUCCCUCCUUCCCUAGACCGUUCUAGGCUACACAAGAUCCAGAGAAGGGAAGAUUUCUACAACCGAAGAAGAUUCAUGAUCCAGUUUCCACCAACCCAUCGUUCUCCAUCUGGUGUUCUCCAUCUGGCGAAAGAUGAUCCUAUCUGUAAACAAGUUUUCCACUGUUCUUUGUAAAAUAUACAUCACAAUAAUAGAAGAAAAAUGCAUCACAAUGUGUUGAAAUAAAUGUUAUUUUAUUUACAACAAUUUCCCUGUCAUUAUUGAAAUGAAAUAAUAAUAUGUACGACACCAUUUUUUUCUGAUAAUUACACAGCCAUGACACCGAGACAUGUGCUCCAUUGACUGUUAUUUAGAUUUGGUCUUUCAGUCUUUAGGGAAUCUACUUCGGUGCUUCUUUCCAGAGACCUUUUGAGGAGGUUUGGCUUAGAGGCAAUGUUCUGGAGCUGUAAAAUGUGGUUGGUCAUCAGAUGCGUGUUUCUCCUCUCUUCUUUUCCUCCAGAGCCCCCUGUAAAGACAUGCCAGUAU